UUUAGUCAAAUUUUUGUUCUCAGAGAAAAUGUUUGUGAAAUUCCUUAGAAUUGUGUCAUUCUUGUUUCUUGGGUUUCUAUGUAGUGCAAUUUUAGGACUACAGUGCUACAAUUGUGACUCCUCCAAAGGCGAUGGAUGCCAGAGGAAUAACAACUUUCGACAACUACCAGUAGAAACUUGUCCCGAAGUUUUACCUCCCUGGUUCACCGAGAUUCAAUGUUCGCGAUUUACAGUAAAAGUGUUUGAGGACAACAGAGAGAAUAAUGUUGUGGUCAGAGGAUGCAUGCCAGCAGAAUCUUGUGCUACUCUUAAGACAAUCAACAUUCAUGGAUGGAACAAUCUCACAGUAACUGAAUGCUAUAUGUGCAAAACUGAUCUGUGCAACUCAAAGAGAAGAGCCAUGCUUGGAAAGUACUUCACUACAAUAAAAACUUAAUAUUAGGCAUUCAGGCCAAAGAUAAUUUCUGCAUGUGGGUCAGUUCCUCGGAGAUGUUACAAUUCGACCGGAAUCUAAGAUAUUCUCGAAUUUCAGCAGAAUUGGAAGACGGAAAUGUAUGCAAAUGGCAUUCCGUUCACGCUAAAGAAGAUUUUACAAACAAUUCUCUAUAUAUAUGUAGUAGAACUUUUCAUUUAAUAGAAAAGGAGAUGAAAAACGUCACAGAGAUUUAUGUCCAAGGAAGUGGGAGAUUUUGAAAUAGAACUAGGGCUUUAGUGUGAAUUUAAAUUUGUAUAAUUUAGUAAUACUAAACCUACAUUAUAUUUUUCAAGGAUAGGAUAAACUUUAUUUUGACACAUUUUUUUAAUCUAGCGUUAUCAACAUUCUUUCAAAAAUACUAACAUACUCAGUCUAGAGGAGUUUGCAAGCACUUAACAAUAAAAAUGUUGUAAUUUCCAUCAAAUCACAAGAUUAAAAAUACAAUUUAAAAUAAUUUAUUAAUGCACAAGUGAGCAGUAAACAAUUUAGAAGUUUUAAAGGCGUGAAAUUUUCAUGUAAGUAUAGGAGAAGGAAAAUAAAGAGCUUCUCAUUUUACUUUCAACUAAUCUUAAAUGAGAAAUAAAUGAAAUAAACACAUUUUUGAUAAAAUUUUGUGUUUUAUGACGUUUACACACUAGAAAAAUGUAUGUCCAUAUUGACGAAUUCCAUACGCUUGUGUAGGAAAAACUCUUCAAUAUGGACAUAAAUUUCUCUAGUGUAUAGAGACUAUUACUGACUAAAAUUUAAUAUCUUCCCGAUGAAUCUGUUUUGGUGCCUAAUUUUAAUUAUUUGCUAAUGAAAUUCUAAUUUUUACUGACAAAAUUUGAUUUCCUACUGCCCUCUUGUGUUUUUGCCAAAUAAUUUUGCCAAUGCAUUUUUGUUAUCGCCUGAGGAAGUAAUAUGAAAAUCUCAGUGUAUUAGAUUCCUUUCAUAGAUAAAUCGACUUGUCAGAAUAUAGGUCGAAUAAAUCGAUUUUUUGCAAAA